GGACUACCCGGGUAUCUAAUCCCGUUUGCUCCCCUGGCCUUCGUGCCUCAGCGUCAGUAUCUGUCCAGAGAUUCGCCUUCGCCACUGGUCUUCCUCACGAUAUCUACGCAUUUCACUGCUACACCGUGAAUUCCAAUCUCCUCUCCAGAUCUCUAGCAACGCAGUAUUGAAUGCAGUUCCGGAGUUAAGCUCCGGGAUUUCACAUCCAACUUACGCCGCCGCCUACGCACCCUUUACGCCCAAUGAAUCCGAACAACGCUUGAGACCUCUGUAUUACCGCGGCUGCUGGCAC
rnacentral:rRNA from 1 species